AGCACACGCACACACAAGCUUGUGUGGGUUUCAUGGGAGCAUAUUUGAUGUACAGUCGACUAUUUCUGAAGGGAUAAUCCUCACACACAGAGCUUGCUGACGGCUACGGCAGACGGUAUGAGUGAGGAGAGAAGAGUAGCGGGUGCUUUUUGGAUGGGAGCGAGGGAUCCAUCCAUUCUGCUGACUGAUCUCAUCCACCCUUCAUUUGCCAGCAACGUGUGGAAGGACAGUUUUUUGUGUGUUAGAGAGAAUAUUUACAUGUAGAAUAUAAAACAUGCAGUUUUUGGAGUUUUAUCUAUUGUUCUAUUGAAAUAUUGUACGUGGUUAAAUUGUCAGGCAACCUAAACAUGCGUUUUGAUCUUUAGGGCGGGCAAGUGUUUGUCUCUCAUUGGACCGGGAGAGGGGUGUCAAAAGUUUCUGGGGGAAGUCUAAGGGGCAGUGCCCCCCUAGGCCCUCUCAACCCCCCUCUCCUUUAAUCCCGCUCAUUUAGUACCGUUGAAAAUAUUAUUUAAUAAGACUGGAUAAACCUGACCACAUGAUGUUACACAAACAAAAGUAUUGUUAAGGCUCAGAUCAGGUAGAAAGAGCUGGCUACCGAAAAGUAUAAAUGUCAGUGCAUUAAAUAUAAAUAAAUGAUAAAAAAGUGAUUUCUGCAAACAGAUGACCAUUCCUCAGCACUAACUUCACUUUUCUGAACCAUUUUUGUAAUUACUUUUAACCAACUGGUGUCAGGUAUGUUCAACAUUCAAAAAGUGUCCAAAUUGUUUUUAUCAUAUUUAUUCAUUGAUUGAUUUCAUUUUUGUAUUUUUUUUUUUUUACAGUAAAAACAUUGUUUUUCAUUUAAAGAAUAAAAACACAGGCGUAUUUAAAAAAAAAAAAAAAAAAUUGGAUUAAAGUGUACUUCUGCUAUAUUUCUAAUGAAAGCCACUUGGUUUUGAUAUUGUAUCUCUAGACUAGAGCAUAUACAGUAUUUCAUAUAUUUUUAAGUGUGGCUUGGGUGUCCAAAUACUAUUUGGGGACACUUGAGGUAGCAACGGCACAUUUUCACUGUGUACAUUAUAAUCCUACUCUAUAGUUAUUUUGGACUGUGUGAAUACAAGUGUGUACUGUAUGUAUGCCAUGAACUGCCUUAGAGGACAUUUGGCUUUGUAUAAUAAUGAAAAAAUUGUUUAUAUACCAGCCUGAUAUAAUGUAAAAAUGACACACACUAUAUGCAUUUUCGAAUCUGCUUUGCUAGGAAAGUUACUGCUUAAAGAAACUGUAAAUGUGUGUGGGUGUUCACAUGCAUGUGUGUGUGUAAUAGAGAGAAAGAGAGAGAAUUACAUCAAACAGGGAUGACAGCUCUUUAGGCCUGUAAGAUAUUGUAGCUGCAGAAAGAGGAUGCUUCUAGGAGUGAGUUAUAAAGGUUGCAUUAUCAUUGUAGUACUUUAAGUGCCACUAAAGCCACAAGGAAGACACAGAGAGAGAGAUUCAAAUAUACUUCACAGUAAACUUAUGAAUAUUAAUUAGGUUAUGUGCAGAUAGUGCCAAAUAAUGUUUUACUGUUUUGAUAGUCAUUUCUGAUGACAAAUUCAAGCGCUCCAAUAAAUAUUGGAAUAUGAUUGUCUCAUUGUAAAAUUUUUGCAUCUAGUCAAAGGGCUGGACUUUUCUGCAUAUCAAGGCACAGUUUUGUGGUCCGUUCUGCAUAACACGGCAGCUAAUUUUUGCUUAUCGCGGCCCAUUCGGCCCAUUUCACGGAUGCACCACCGGCCCGUUCAGUUCGCUGGCCAGUCCGCCCAUGAUCGGCCCCAAAGUGCGUCGGCCCACCGGGAAAAUGCCCGGUAUGCCAGAUUGCCAGUCCAGCCCUGAGUACAAGUAGUUCCAGGUUCUAAUCCGCUCUAAUAUAACUUUUAAUUUUAAUAAAUGAAGAUUGCAUCUGUGCCUUAGUGGCUGUAUAUCAUGAGAGCAGACCAACACUCUCACGGCGAAAUUGUCAGGAUUCGACUUUUCUAAAUUCGGCUAAUUCGUAUGAUAUCGUGCGACUGACCGUUUGAAUUCCUACGACUUUCACUACAGCCAAUGACGUCGCUGGACAUCGUUUCCAUCUAAUACGUGACAAUUACUUUCUUCUGCAACAGCUUCCCAUCAUGUUUACACACUCUACUGAUUGGUUUAAAUUAGGGGUUUGGGUAAGGGCAUAAUAUUAGUAAGUAAGUCCUUAACGCCUUGUAACUCACGCUUACUUACGCAUUAGACAUCCGGGAAUUUGCACGUGAUGAAGUCGUUCGAGUAUAUGCGAAAUAGCCAGCUCGUAAAUUCUGUACAACUUUUCAGGAGAUCGGGUUGGAGCAGACAUGUCUGUUAGCAUUUUGCUUUGCAAUUUAACUGGAAAGAAGUGCAAAUUACGUAACAGCAGAGCGAGUAGGGCACACAUCUGGAUGCACGAGCAUCUUUUAUCAUUCUAUACGUUUGAACUUCAUUUGAAAGCUAAUACAAUAGUUUGGUGUUAUAAGAGUGAUCUGCUUUGUCAAAGCUAAACUGAAGAGUGUUGUUUAUGUGGAUGAGGCUAUGAGCUGUAGACAUUUAGACUUAAAAUGUUUUGUUUUUCUUUCGCCUAUGAGUAUCCCAUCCUGCAUAUCAUGAAGUUCCAGAUAAAUUUUUUUUUUUAAUUAUUAUUAUUAUUCUUUAUUAGAAAAGUCUAAUACAAACAUGAUAUCUUGUCAACCCAUGCAUGACUGUUCACUAUACUUUGGACAUACAUUCACAUUUGCGUCUGCGUAGAGUAUGUUUCUUGCCUUGAGUGACAAAUCUGUUACUGAGGAGGGUUUUCAUCCAAUUUUCAUGUUGAACUCUUUUUAUGGUACUUAUUCAUUCAGUGGAUUAUUUGAAUUUACCUAAUUGAAAAUGUUGUGAAGUAAAAUUGUUUUAGAUUCUAAUCUUUUCUUUUCCUUUUGAUUUCCUUGAGUUUUUAUUGUUACUGUUCUUUGUUGUAUUAACAUUUUCAA